UGAUAUAUGUAAUUUAUGUUUCAUCAUGUGUUUUAUAACUGUUUUAUUUAGGGACCUAAAGGAGAUCCAGGUUUUUCCCCAGAUCAAGCUCUUUCUGGAGAAAAGGGUGAUCAAGGUCUUUCUGGAUUAAUGGGGCCCCCUGGUAUGCAAGGUGUUAAGGGUCUCAAGGGGCAUCCAGGACUCCCAGGACUCCAAGGGGAA
rnacentral:lncRNA from 1 species